ACACACACACACACACACACACACACACACACACACACACACACACACACACACACACACACACACACACACACAUCCUCCCCACCACGUUACAUUCUGAAUGGAUAAGCCUGUUAACGCUCAAACAUCAUUUCUCUCUCAUUACAACUGUUUCAAACGUGAUAUUUAAGUGAGCUCUUCUGUGCUAUCCCUCUCACAUUCUCUGUCAUUACUUUUGUUUACCUCUCAUUCCAUUGUUCCUGCAUACAUUAUCACCUAUUAUCAUUGUCUGAAUGCCGUGCUGUGAAAUACUGUUGUCUGCCCCUUGGUAAAAAAAAACUUCUCUCCCUCCUUUCUCUCUCAUUUUCCCUCUGGCUGCCUCCUUUUACAGGGUAAUAUAUUGUGAUUGUCGUUUAAUUAAUAGCCUGUCUGUGGCAGAAGGGGAAUCGGGAACACAGUCUUCCACCCAGCUCAAAUGUAACAGAACAUUCUCAAUGCCAAUUUGUUCAUCCAUACUAACAAAUUUAUGCUUUUUUAAAUCCUAAGAUUCUGUAAAGAUUUUACAUCUGUGAAUUAUUGAGAAUUGUUCUCCCAUAAACAACCAUUAAUAUGCUGGCUGUUAUAGACACAAGGUAGUUGAAGCAGGGGGACAGUAACCCCCAGCGUACUCAGUGAGUUAAGAUACGUUUAGGUUUUCCAACAUUGUAACUAUGAAUUAUAUUUUAAACACAUGCCUCUGAUUAUCCUUUAAGUUAUUAUUUUAACAGUGCAACAUCAUUUAAAAAAUAGCUAAUUUAGGGCUUUAAACUAAUUUGAUAAUUUGUGCAAACACACACACACACACACACACACACACACACACACACACACUGAGACACACUGAGACACAUUUACUAACACACACAGACAUAAAUACAUAGAAAAACGGGGGGAGAGGGGCUGCUUUUCUAGGGGGCACUCUCAUGGUUUUGGCGCUAAUGCAGGCAUCUGGCAGUGUCUGGUCUGGAGCGUCUUUCCCACCCCAUUACCCCCUGUGUCUCCUGCAGCACCCACCCACACAAUGGUGGGAAAGAGGGGUGGUGGACCUCCGUCAAGAGCUCUCCUCACAAAGCAGUCAUUGUGGAGGGGAGCCAGGAGCAGAAUGAUAAUGUGGACUCCAUCUACUGUUUACCAACAGGCAGACUAGCUACAGACAGACAGCUGCAGUACACAGUACACUACACCGACCUGCAGCCCUGCAGCCCUGCAGCCCAGGCUCAAAGAUCACAGCUCUCUGUUGCUCUCUGCUCUGUUCCCCAGUGCCAGGGGCUAAAAGAAACAUUUAACAGGAAUCUGUAUGGUUGUUUUGUACGUGUGUGUGUGUGUGUGUGUGUGUGUGUGUAGCUAGUCCUUUGCUUCUUCCAGUAAGCUUCUUUAUAUCUGCCCAUCCCUGUAUUCUACACAGUGACACAUCUGCGAUGGAGGCCUUGAGAAUAUGCAAAUCAGGUAUGAGGAGGCCCCUCCCCCCCGUGGAGAGACUGCUAGUCUAAUUAAAGCUUGCUUGGGCAUUAAAGGCACAGUUGUCCUUUGUUGUAUUAAAGGCAUAGUGGAUUUCCUUCAUCAUAAUAAAGGCACAUUUUUUUCUUUGUUAUGUUAAAGCUACAGUAAUCUUUGAUUGUAGUAAAAUACAUAGUGGUUAAUCAUUUAUCAUCCCAUGAUGAAUACAUGCGAGUAUGGGUAGGCUAGGCUACUGUAGAUCUUUCAUCCAAUGCAUGUAAGAUGUAUAAUCACUCAACAAGCAUUGUGAUCUUAUUUUUUGUGUACAAACAAUUAAGCAUACAUUUUUGGGGAUAUGAAUUAAUGUUGCUCCAAAUGAAUGCUAUUUCCCUACAUGAUUUAGUGGGGUAUUAUCCCUAAAUCAAAAUCUCAUAGAAACAUAAUAUAACAUAUUAGGUGGUACGUGUCUAUAGACCUAUUUUUUUUGUAAUUAAAUGAAAUCAUAGUUUAACAAUUGACAUUAUAUUUAACAUAUAUGAGGCAUUAGUCUAUAUGUAUUAUAAGUCACUCUCUCUUUGUAUCUGGUGUGGUUUUGUAUGGCUGCCAUAAAGGCUUCAUAAAAAGAUACCCCACUGUAAGGGAUGAUCUACACUGGCUUUUACAUUUCAUUAGUUACAGUAAAGGGACUUCAGGAUUUAAGGGAUAUUCGGUUAAACUGGAUAUUUUUACAUUUGGCAAAAAUGUAUCCCACAUCUUCCACUUUGCUGUCGCGUGUCUCGUGCAGCUAAACCCCACGCGCAUACAAGGCUGCAGCCCGCGCCUCUAAUGUGCUGCUGUGCCUUUAAAGAGGGCUCUCUCCUCGUUUCUAUGCAAUUAUGUUAAUAUACAGAGCUUGUCUGGUGCUCUUCAUUAACCGCUGCAGUUGCAUCAUUGUUUCCUUUAUUUGUUAUCUCUGUAAAGCCAAUGAUUCAGCAACAGGCUAUAUUUUGGUGUUUUCUUCCUUACAAAUAUGUGGUCUUUAAUAGUGAUGGAUGAAGUAGGCCGUAUGUAAAGUAUUUUUUAUAAAUAUUAGCGUUUAUUUGUGGUUUUCUAUUGCAAAUGAUCCUAUCUCAAGGUCGUGCUUUGCAUCGGGUUUGUGUUGGACAUCGGUUUCUAAAUAGGCAGACAAGGUCCUACCUUCAGUGAGUAUGCGAAUAAUUCCUUGUUCAGAAGAAUAUGAUUAUUUAUUUUCGAUAUCAAAUAUUUUCAGUACAUUGUGAGAUUACAUACAUUUAAUAUUGCAUUGCAGUCUGUGUAAUAUUAGACUUUGUGAAAUGCAGUUUAACGUUAUAUCAACCACAUAACCUACAUUAGGUAGCCUACCCUUUUUUCAUUUAUCAUGCCAUAUUCAUAUUCCUAGCUUGUUAACAUAAUUGUCCAGCUAAUUGUCUCAACGUGUAAUUUCUAAGUUGCAUAGCAACAGCAGUCUGUGCAAUGAAAGCAAUGACCUGCUCUGAUCAUUAGAAUCAUUUCAUCCAGUACUGUGACCAAGAGACAUAUUUUCAGUUCAAGGUGAGGUGCCUAUACGGUAAACUUCAAUACCUAUGUCCUCUCAAACUACUAUAGAAACAUCUAUAGUGUAUAAAAAUAUAUUGUAUAGAAAUACAUUUGCCCUGUUAUAUUGACUGAUAAUUUAAAGCUAUGAAAAAAUCCUACUGCAAUUAUAGUCUUCACCAUAACCCAGAUGAUAAUAUAAACAGAACAUGUCGUACAGUACACCAUCCAACAUGACUGGUAGGCCUAGCCUACAGUACUGUCAAUCGUGUUUCCCUCUCUAUGAUAAACACACAGAUACAAUCAUAGUUGCUGUUGUCUUAUUUUGUGAAUAUGCACAUUUUUUAUGACAGAUGUAAAUAAAUAAAAAAGUGCUGAUAAUAAGGAUAUAUAAACUGUAGUUAAUCUCUGUUAUACAUAAAGACAACAUCUGAAAUGACUGAAACUAAUUUGGGCUAAAUGAGUCACCCCCUGUGCACAUUUGUUCUUUUUUUGAAUAGUUUUUAGCUUAAUAUCAAGUAGACAAAGUGACCAAGAGUGGAAGUAAACAAUGAGGUGCAAUGAUGGAAAAUGAAAAGGCCUAUCACUUUGUAUUAUGUAAUUCCAUGUGCAACGUAAGCAAUAUCCAGAUCUUUGAGAUUACAGUAUAUACAGGAACAAUUGUAGCUCGAAGACAUCUGGUAGGGUGCAUAUGAAUGUGCAAAUGAUGUACAAUAGUCGUGAAACACAGAAGAUGUACGUAGGUAUUAGACACAUUAUAGUAUGAGGUAUGAAUGCAUACACCAUAGACGUAUCGCGAGUGAGACAGAAGUUGUAAGCUAAGUAUGAGAAAGCAGUGGGUUUAGAUGUGAGACACAUAUGUAAGAUGUAUGUAUGAGACAAACAGCGGUUUGAGAUGUGAGGGUUGAUUGUAGGUUUGAGACAGAUUGAAGGUGUAAUGACUAAAGAAAGAGUGAGCUAGCUCUGCUCUGUGGCUGAAGGCCACAAGGACGUCAUCAUCAUCUCACAUGACCAGAUUUAUGUAACCUGAGAGUGCAAGGAUUGUGUGUGUGUGUGUGUGUGUGUGUGUGUGUGUGUGUGUGUGUGUGUGUGUGUGUGUGUGUGUGUGUGUGUGUGUGUGUGUGUGUGUGUGUGUGUGUGAGAGAGAGAGAGAGAGAAAGAUAUAUGUUCAAAAUUAGGAUUAUUUAAGAGAUAAAUAUUUAUUCAUAUGGAAAUACGUCUAUUUAAUGUGGUGUAUUGUAAAAAAAAAAGAUAACUGCUUGUUUGUUGCCAUGUGUGCUGAACGCACAUGACAAUCAAACAUUCAUACAAGGCUAUUGUCAGUUCGUUAAUGCAAUGCCUCGUUAACAUCUAAACAGUAAUGGAUGGGGCUGCUUUUUCUCUAGCCUACAAGCGUUCAUUUAUUUAAUAUCUCCUAAGCCCUGCCACACUCGUUAGCCAGUUCAGACUGGAGAGGGUAAGAUGAGGGCUGACAGAGGCUAGCCUACUGAUGAGGGGACUGAUGGAUAAAAGCCUGAUAGAACCAAUGGUGCAGCCAGCCCUACCUCAUGCCAACACAGCCAUUUUAGGAGCAGCAGCAAGACUCUCCAUCAAGAUGGCUUCCGUAGCUCAGCCCCAGUCAGUCACACAGAGUCCUCUGGCUGCCUGCGAGGGGGGCCGCUCUAACUGGCAGCUCCUUUGUCCCCGUUGGCACAGGGUGGAGGCAUCUCGCCCGUCCUUUUCUCCGGGGGCACAGAUGGCACCAAAGGCUUCCGGUGAUGGAGAUUUAAGGGAAGAGGGACAAGGGGGUUGGCCUUUUUCUUCCCCUCCUGCUUUUUCCUUUUUUUGUGACGACUGUGCCACUUUCCCCUCGCUCAAUCCAGACCUGGUGUGAAUGGCUGGCAGUCACUGUGGAGGAAUUUUCAAUGCGAGGAAAUUUGUCCUGGUUCUUUUGCCAUCCAAUGGAGGGCUGCGCACCCGCGUGGAAGGCAGCAGUAAGGGUUCCGAUAUAGGAUGAGAAGCAUAUGGCUAGCCUAUAGAAUAGCUUUUUACCGAGGAAAUGAAAUCAGAUUAUUUACCUAUGAAGAGAGGACAGUACAGAAAACGAUAAACGCUUCUCAUCCCAAAUCCGCCUUUGAAGCAGGCGGAGGCAGCCGGUUUCUAAAAGGCGCUGUCGAUGCUCAACGGAUCCAUGUCGAAUUGGUGGUCUAUUUCCGAGGUUGUGAGAUCCCUUAACCGUUAUUUCACUUGUCUCUCGUGGAUGGCAAACGAGAUGGUAUCUCUCUACGGAUUAUAAAUCAAAGCGCGGUCCUACCGUAGCCCGUUAGUUUAUCCAUUGUGGCUCUCCUCCGUGCCUCCGUUGCUCUCACUACC
rnacentral:lncRNA from 1 species